CGGCUACUCCAGCUGCAUGGUGAGCUCAACAGGUUGGCCGGUAUCGGUUACUCCAGCUGCAUGGUGAGCACAACAGGUUGGCCGGUAUCGGCUACUCCAGCUGCAUGGUGAGCUCAACAGGUUGGCCGGUAUCGGCUACUCCAGCUGCAUGGUGAGCACAACAGGUUGGCCGGUAUCGGCUACUCCAGCUGCAUGGUGAGCACAACAGGUUGGCCGGUAUCGGCUACUCCAGCUGCAUGGUGAGCACAACAGGUUGGCCGGUAUCGGCUACUCCAGCUGCAUGGUGAGCACAACAGGUUGGCCGGUAUCGGCUACUCCAGCUGCAUGGUGAGCACAACAGGUUGGCCGGUAUCGGCUACUCCAGCUGCAUGGUGAGCACAACAGGUUGGCCGGUAUCGGCUACUCCAGCUGCAUGGUGAGCACAACAGGGGUUGGUCCCAAAUGGCACCUUAUUUCAUACUGUAUGUACAGAUGCCGUACCUGAAAUUGAACCUGCUUCUCACAGCACGAAAAUAAUCCUGCUGCAACAGGAAAUGUCAAUUAUUAUGUGGAUUAUAAUUAAUGGACAUUUAUGUAGGGAAAAUCAGGUCUGAAAUGUUAAAGUGGAAAUUACAAACGUUAGAAGCCUUUUAAAAAUGUAAUUCACAAAAAUGUGCAUUUCCUGCAAAAAUGAGCGUUUCCUUUUCCUGUGCAGGAAAAUGAUCUGCAACAACAGAGUGAUUAAAUUAAGAUAGCAGAUCUGUAGUGCACUACAGUGAGAACAAAGAAAUAAUACAAUGUCCUCUUUGAACAGAUUUUCCAAUUAGCCCUAAUUGGAAGAGGGAGUGGUUACACAAUUGAUUGGACACACCUAGUAAGCAAUACUAUACACAUUCAAAAGUGAAAUACUGUAGCUAUGUUAUCAUAAAAAUACAACUCCAAGCUAGAAGCAUCAGAACACUUAAAAAGGUAGUUCUAACCUUAAAUAUGACUGGGAGAAGUGUCAAGAAUAAGAAAGCCAUAUAUUCCAUAGUACACUAGAACACAGCAAAACAUGAACAACAACCGUCUAAACAUAGCUGAGGGCAAUUGAGCAAAAUACAAGGAACCUCCUUCCAUGCCCCUUGAUUUGUCACAAUGUUGCUAGACUGUUCCUAGAAUGUUUUCAAAAGGAACGUUCUCAGGAAUUAGAAACACUGGAACAUAGGCUGUUCCCUGGCCUGACAGACAUGUUUUGGGAGACAAACAUUGUCACUAGGGUGACGGUUAAGGCCUAAUGUUGAGGCUAUAGAUCUGUGGUGAAGGCAAAAAAAUAGACCAGGACCCGACACAAUAAACCUGUUGACUAGAUUUCCAGGUAAGUUAAAAACAGCUCCAUGCAUGCAGAAUGCAUAUUUAAAUAUGCAGAAAUAUACAGUGGUCCUUCUGUAGCUCAGUUGGUAGAGCAUGGCGCUUGUAAUGCCAGGGUAGUGGGUUCGAUUCCCGGGACCACCCAUACGUAGAAUGUAUGCACACAUGACUGUAAGUCGCUUUGGAUAAAAGCGUCUGCUAAAUGGCAUAUAUAUAAUAUCAGU